AAGGAAGGACUGAAGACAAAAGAAACUAUGGGCUGCUCUCUCUUUCCCUUUCUUUCUAUGUCACCAUUUUCACUUAAGUGGUUGGUCGAUACAAGGAAUUAACACUAAUGCUAUGUGCAAAUGGGAUAGGAAGAAAUGGCAGCAUGCAUUAUGCACACCUCUCCUCUGCUCAGACUCAAAUUAUCGAAACUUCAGAGGAAAAAUUUAAACUUUCCUACACCAGAAUCAGCUUGAGAGAAGAACCUAGUUGCCACCCCAGCCAGAGGGUUCCUGUGGAAGCCACCAGCACAUUGAGAGAAGGGAAAAUGUGGUUAUUCUGCAUCCAUUUUACUGCAAGGAGAUCGGGGCUGACGUGGCUGGCCAAUUCACAACCUGUCUCUAAUGUAUUCCCAUUUGAGAAACUGAUCAUGGACAGCUAAGUGAAAUGUCUGACUUCUCUCCUGGAGGCUCCCUCACUCUCUUCUGCCAGAAAUGAGACCCGGGGAAAAACAGCGGUAUCAUCUAUAUCCCUGCUAACUUCCUGUACUGCACAUAUUGGAGGACUCAGUCACCGACUUGCCUGUGGUUGCUAUGAGUCGCCUACAGAACUGAAAAUGGGAAGCAGAACUAGGCUGGUUGUACUCCUAACCACAAGGACACUCUCCUCCUCAAAUGAAAAGGCUCUAAUUAAAAGGCAGGAAAGAUCAGGUAUCUCUGGAGUUCACUUUUAAAAUUGUCAAAAAAAACCUCAAAGUCGCUUUGCUUCUGACUAUCCAUACAUUGGAAGACUAAUUAACUAUGACAAGCUGACCAGUGGAGACCAUUUUCAUAAGGAUGACACGAUGAUGGAUGGGUGCAUGCUGUUACAAUGUCAUUGCUAAAAAAGACGUGAUGAGUCCAAGUUCCAAUUACUAAGAUUCAUAUACAAUACAGAGGUCUUUUUCAAGCCACAGAACCCCAUUGCAACAGGCUGACGUGUCGUCUUUUCUGUAUUUAAGAGACACAUUCAUGGGCCGGUGACAUACUGAGCUAUGCAUGCUAGGCCUUCUCUGCAUCUGGCAGCUGGAACGAGACACAACUAAGUCUUGUUGCUUCAGGGCUUUGGGUACCAAAUGAGGCAUUAGCACAAUAGAAACACCCAACCCAGAGCAAUGUUUUCCCAUCUUCAGACUUGGAGGCCAAGAGGCAAUAGCAAGGACAUUAUGUAGAUAUUUAUACAACCAUUUAAAACAUAACCACUCAAAAAUGUCAAAACCAUUCUUAGCUUACUGGCUGUAAAAAGUAGGCAGCUGGCUGGAUUGGGCCCACGGGCUAUAGUUUGCCAACCCUUGCCUUAAAUAAACAAACUUGUUA